rnacentral:rRNA from 1 species
UUGCUGGGUGGAUGAGUGGCGAACGGGUGAGUAACACGUGAGUAACCUGCCCUCUUCUUUGGGAUAACGCCCGGAAACGGGUGCUAAUACUGGAUAUUCACUGAUUCUCGCAUGGGGGUUGGUGGAAAGGUUUUUUCUGGUGGGGGAUGGGCUCGCGGCCUAUCAGCUUGUUGGUGGGGUGAUGGCCUACCAAGGCUUUGACGGGUAGCCGGCCUGAGAGGGUGACCGGUCACAUUGGGACUGAGAUACGGCCCAGACUCCUACGGGAGGCAGCAGUGGGGAAUAUUGCACAAUGGGCGAAAGCCUGAUGCAGCGACGCCGCGUGAGGGAUGGAGGCCUUCGGGUUGUAAACCUCUUUCGCUCAUGGUCAAGCCGCAACGCUGGUUGUGGUGAGGGUAGUGGGUAAAGAAGCGCCGGCUAACUACGUGCCAGCAGCCGCGGUAAUACGUAGGGCGCGAGCGUUGUCCGGAAUUAUUGGGCGUAAAGGGCUUGUAGGCGGUUGGUCGCGUCUGCCGUGAAAUCCUCUGGCUUAACUGGGGGCGUGCGGUGGGUACGGGCUGACUUGAGUGCGGUAGGGGAGACUGGAACUCCUGGUGUAGCGGUGGAAUGCGCAGAUAUCAGGAAGAACACCGGUGGCGAAG